CCUUAGAAAAAAGAAAAGGCCAGCUGUAGCAAGGCAUUUAAAGAUUAUUUUGUUUCCUGGACAUGUAUACAUACAAAUGGAUGAGAAUCUAGAAUCCCAAAUCAGGAUUUGGGAUUUCUCUCUUUAAGAACACAGCAUGUGUUGAAUAUGGUGCCCACAGCAGAAAGGGCAUAGAACUGGCAUGGCAUAGAGAUAACCAGAAGGAAAUUUUAAAUCUGUGUAGAGUAGUAAAGUUGAUUUUGUUAAAAUUUGGCCAUUCUGCAGAAAGAAAGGAUUAUACAUAGUUCAGAUCAUGCCAAAAUGAGAAUUGUGGCUCCACAGCUUUGCUUUUGACACUGUAGAGAGGAGGGUAAUGUUGAAUGUCCUUGGUUCUAGCUUCAGGCUAUGUAUUCUAAAUUCAUCAGUUACUGGAUAAUAUACAGACCUGGAAAUGAACAGGAUAAACAGACUUGGAAGUUGUAGUUCAAACCCAGAAAUUCCCCCUCACAAUUAUCUCUUUUGUUACAGGGUUUGAAUUAGAGGACCUCAAUUUCUUUGCAGAUUAUUUCAAGUCACCAGAGAACAGUUAGGGUGGGGAGUAGGAGAUGGUGCAUUAGCAUCAGAACAUGCAUUAAUUGCUGAGAAAUGGCAGACAUUGCACUGGCUCAUCCCCACCUGCUUAUUUUCAGACAGCAUCAAAUUAAAUUCUGCAGGACAAAGCAAACUCAGUCGACCUUUAGGAGCAUACAGCAUUUCAUUAAUUUCUCUUGAUACCUAAAGCUGUAUUUUGAUGCAAGAGCAUGGCUUGCUCUCAACAUUCAGAUAAGCAAAUCUUUUUUGUGACUGGCAGAAAGGUAAGUUGUGAACAGAAAGGUAAGUUUAUGAACAGAACACAGCUAUACAAUCCAGCACUGCAUUUUCUCACAGUAAGCAUUGUGCCCCAUGUGGCUGCCACAUGUUUGUUAUGACCAGUUUCAGAAAAUACUGGAAGAGCUUCCUUAAGGCUUCAUGUAUUUCAAGCAAAGGUUUAAGAGUGACUAGUCUAUCAUCUUCCUGUUGAGUAGUCUGUGAAUAGAUUUAACAGAAUUAAAGAUUAAAAACUCAAUUUGGACAUCCUGAAUUUUUGAGUGCAACUAAACUUGUAAAGUGUCGAAACUCCUUGUCACCCUAGGAAAGAAUCUCACCUGUUGACAGACUUGCAGCUUAACCUGGGUAUCUGCAUUCUUCCUCCACCCCCCUUCAUUUUCUUUGCAGAUCCUUUCAGGUCUUUGCAAUCCAGAACAAUUCCCACCAAUGGAUCCAAUACAGGAAUUUAUAUUUCCUCCUGAGCUAGUGGUAGACCUUACUGAUAUUUGUUAUCCCAAGCAUAACUGAGUUCCUACAAAUUUUGAAAACCUGAUGUUUUUGUGAAACUGAAAGAUCUGUUCUCAGAUAAAUAGAAGAUGCUAGUUUUAGUCACACAUAAUGAGACAUUUCAAUGUGAAUAAUCUACAUGUUAACAUUAUUACAAAUACCUAACUUUUUCAAAAAAGAAAUUGCCUCUGCAAAAUCAACUCUUUUUUUUUUUUUUUUUACUGUAGUGUUUUCUCUGAAAGAUCCCAAAUGAACUUCUCUAUCUUUUCUGUCUUGUAUUCUCUGUUGGAUGGCUUCUUCCAGCGGGGACAUAGACCCUAACAACCUGAAACUGGACUUAGGUGCAGGUCCACAGGAAAGGCAAUGGACUAGAAAAGGAAAGAAGAGUGUUAAUUGCAGUAGUUAUGGAAAUUCACAGAAGGACAGAUGAAAAGUUGAAAGGGGAGGAGGAGGAGGAAAGGCUCAUGACAGAGGCAAGAGAUCUGUGAGAAUGGUAGUGCAGGAUUUACCCACACCAGACUGAGUAGAAUCCAAGCAGUCAGGUUCAGACUCUUUUUUUUAAUCCUCACUCAUGUUUCAGUAGCUUAUUGCAAAAUUCUUUGUUUGCAUUUCUUUUGCAAAUAUUCGUGGGCAGUUCCUGCUGCUAUUACACAACCACCUCACAAGCACAAAAGUUCACUUGAGUUCUGAAAAUGCGUGGCACAGUUCUUUGGUUUGUCAUGAUAUCAGAGUGCUAUUUGCUGCAAGGCAGUUGGCUUUGUAAACACUUGUCAGUGCAACUUUCGUAUUAAAUGAUUGCCUCUCAGUGCAGAACAUUCAUAGUAAGGCAUAAAAUCCUUUAUGAAACCAUGAAAGGGAAAGUAAAUCUGCCUUUCUGCUACUUGCCCUGCCUUUGAGACUCAUGUUUACAAUGCAAGUAUUAAUGUUUUACAAAUGUUAUACUUGGAUUAAGAUCAUGGCUAAACUGCUGCUGGUUGAUAAAGCUGGUCAGACAGAAAGAAGAUGCCACCAUCUGCUCUGCAUGUUCAGAUUGAGCUGCCAGGAGGAGUGCACUGCUUCUCCAGCCCACACAAGGUAUCCAUAGCAGUAAGAUUAUGAUUGGUUUCACAGACACCAAGUGGUUUUUUUUUUGUUUUUCAGGUAUGUCAUUUACCUAGAAGGCCAGUCCAGAGUUGCAACAGGUCUUUGGCUUGUCCACUGGUGUUUUAAUUGCAUUUUCUGCAAAGAUAGGUGUUUCUCAGGGAUUGCUUUUGCAUAUUUUGAAGCCAUGAUUCCACAUGGCACUUGUCAAGUAUGAAAAGAACAUACAUGAUAUCCUCGGGAGGAAAAAAAGGCUAUAUAUAUGUAUAUACACAUAUAUAUGUAUAUAGGUAAGAAACAAGGUGGCAGAAAACCACUUUGAUUAACAUAAAUACUGAUCAACCAUCCCAAGGAGACAAUACUUCUGGAAAGACAAAUUUUUAAAACAUUUAUGUACUGCAGAAACUAGUCUGGGUCUAGCAUGGUAGAUACAUGACUCAGCAAAUAGGGAUGUAGUGAUCCUCCCUAAGAGAACACACUUCUUGUAUUCUGCCACAUAUGCAGUGAGACUUUAGCAUCCUGAUUUCCCCUGAAGUCCAGUAACAUUGCUUUACAUUAUACACAAGGGAAAUCUUUCAGAAUCUUCAGAGUAGGAAAAAGAAACAUAAUAUUAAUCUUCUCCUACUAUUUAUUUUGUGUGUCUCUUACAAUGUCAUUUAGUUCAUUCUUAUUUCAGUUUCCUGAGCAAUAAUAUAAUUAUGAUAUAAGCUCAGCACCACAGGAACCUCAGGUGAAAAGCUUCAUUAAUGUCUCACUGCCUGUCAUGACAGUGGUUCAUACUGGCAGUAGUCAAAUCUACCAAUCUUUGUCAUUUCCAUCACAGAGAACGGCUCGAGCAACAAAGAACUGUGAUUUUCCAUGAGAAGAGAACAACACAGAUUUCUCCCCCUGGCCUGAGGAAGCUGAGGGAAUGGCCGUUGAGGGGUAGAAAAGUAAACCUGGUUUCUGUCAACAGAGAUGAUAUGAGAGAGGACUUCUGAAGGGAACAGUAGAUUAAAUCACAUUAAAAAGUACAAAGGUAGACUUCAGUUAAGAUUGAAUAAAACAAAUACAAUUUCUAACAAGUCUUUUGGUGGAAUAAAUGGGGUUAUGGGACAGCUCCCUGUUACAUAUAAGAAGGGCAAGCUGAAAAAUAAUCUCAUUGUUUGUUGAAGUCUUUAGGAAGACACAUUGUAAGCAGGGGAUCAUCCUGGGACUCAAACCCAACCUCACCAGCUGGCACAUCUGUCCUUUGGCAUCAGAAGGAUGACUUCAUUUCAGUCUUCUGACAGGCUGAAAGACAGGAAAAUGCCCUGUCCAUAGCGAAUUGUGGGAAGCUAGUCCUUUUCCAUCCAGGCACAAACAGCAUUGUAGAGCUGAAUAUUUUAUUUGGAGGCAUUGGCUCAACCACACUCUGUGCAAGAAAGUCCUGUAAGACUUCCUUAUAGGAAGGAAUUGGUGGCUUCAGCUUUAAACCUCAAGUCCAAAACAAUUCUGUGUGCCAUGUGAAACGUGUUGGUGGAGCAUUUGGGGGGAAGGUACUAAACCAUCACUCUUUGUUGUAAUUGCAGCUGUGGCAGCCAACAAAUGAUAAAUAUGUAACUCAGAAUUGAAUAUGAACCACUUCUCGGACAUAAAGCCAGCUCUGCAAGAUGGAACACGUAACCCACAACUAGUGGACUAUGCCCUUUUAUUCAAAUUUCUUCUAGAGUCACUGAAGUUAUUUGGAUAACCGCUGAUGUGCUUUGCCUCUGCUUUCUUCAAAAUGAGAUGACAAGAAAAUGCACCCUCACCCUUUGUGUUUUGUGUCUUUCCAGAGUAAUGCCUUCAAUCUGCUCUUCCAUGUCUUGUGCUUCCCUCCCUCCAGGGGUUGGCAGGACAGAGCAGUAGCCUGCUGCAGAGUACUUAUUUCUGUACAAUGAGGCAGGAGCCAACUUCCCUCCCCAUAUCAGUCCUAGCCAACAAUGAUUACACAAGCGUUUCUGCAGAAAGCAGGGCAAGAUGGCCAUGAUGACAUUGUUUCCUGACAAUAGCCACCUCACAGGUUUUCCAUUGCACUCAUCCUUUGGCACUGUACAAGGAGAUACAUCUGGAGUUGCUUAAUACCUUGUCAUUGGGCCCAAAUUUUUGUUUAUAAGUUAAACAGGGAAAAAAAGGAAUAAAAAAAUUAAAGUAGUAAAGCACAGUAGCAAUUAUGAAAUAAAGAGUAAGAUUUUACCAGCCAUUCUCUCAUCAAUGCAUGUCCAGUCGGAAAACAAACUAAAAAAACACUCUGGGAGACUGGAAAAUAGGAAAUGUCUGAUGAAACUAUGUCAAGUUUCAUCAGACAUUUCUGAUAACAUGUUUAAACAUAAGUUUAAACAAAUCUGUUGUGCUCUAGGCUAAAAAUGUCUCCAUGAAAAAGGACACAAAUUACAUCAGGCAGACCUGCAGGUCCCUCUCUUCUAAUAGCAGCCAGCUAGAGAUUCCUACCUCAGCCUGCCUUAGGAAUUGGGGUUGGGAAUUCUGCAUCCAUCCACUUCUGCUUCCUUCCGUGCAGGAUAUCCAGCAGUCAGUGUUUCUCAGUGGUAGAACUUCUCAUACUCAUAGAAGUCAUAACCAAGGUAAAGAACCUUCAUGGGCUGUGCUGUGCAGAAAACUUGUUAACAACUUAGAAUUUAAAGAAAGAUGAAUUUGCUAUUCAGUCACCAGGAGAUGAUGUACUAUCUCCAGGAAUGCACUAAGAACUGUAGGCUUUCUUUGCAAACAUCAUGGCCCCCACAAUUCAAUGCAGUCUCAUUCAACUGUAUUGCAUAGUGGAACCUUGUAAGUCAGUUCCUGUAAUGUGAGCCUCUCAGGCUGAGAGCUCUCCUGUGCUGUGGAGGUAUGAGCUUAAUUACCUGUUCAAUUACAAGAAUGCCACUGUUCACUAGAGGUAAGUUGGUUGAUUUCCCAACCUUUUGUAACUUGAGAAAAUUGAGCUAUGUGUGUGCAAUGAAAUUUGUGUGGCUGAUAAGGAACAUGCAUUUGUGAAAUACAGUAAGGGAUUUUUUUUUUCCUUAGCAAAAUUAUUUUUUUAUGUUUUAUUUUGGUUUCCUAAAGACAAACCUGGAUGGGCUUAGAUUAUAGAUCAGUUCUGCUGUCCUAAAGAUCAGAAAACCAGAUGACACCUUUAGCCACUUACUGACUGCAAGCAUUCCUGCAGACAGAAUUAGAACUGUCAUACACACACACACAUAUAUAUAUACGACACCAUCUUGGUAGAACAAGAUAGAAGCACCAGUUCUCUUGUCCUGCCAAGUAAAAGACCUGUCAUUAAUGUGUUUCAUGCUACACUGGAACAGUUCUGGAGUUACCUCAAGAACUUGAAACAAUUUGCAUGCAAUUUUGUAAGUACCUGCAACAAAGAGCAGAUCACAAGUAGUACCAUUUUGUCACUUCUACAUCCAGUUUGAGAGUAAGAACUGUUAUCUGAUUUUUUUCUGUUCUUCCAGCAUAUGGAAAAUCCCAAGGAUCAGAAUGAGACGCUGUACAAAUUAAUGAUGGGUGAUGUAUCAAUAUUUCAGUAAAACAGAGAUUCUAAAAGUACAUACUGCCAAGUAUUUCUAGGCACAGAUAUAUUACCACCCAAGUAACACACCAGUUUAGCUCUGCUUCCUGGCAGCCCACCUCAGGCCUGCUCCACAUCAUCAGAUCUCUCUGAACCACUAACUCUGGCCUCUCCCAGAGGUGGAAUGUAAUCACUGCUAUUCACUGCCUUGUCACCACUCACUUCUCCUCUGCCUUACCCACAGUUUUGCCCCUUCUUUCCAGCAAAAUGCUGAAGCAGGACCAAGUUGAUGCAUUCAUCCCAGAUGAGGAGAGAGCACGAGGUGGGGAAGUGGCACUGGAGGUAGGAAGGGUUAAGAGCAGGACAGGAUCCCAGUACCAGCUGUUUUCCUAACAGAGGUGAGGUUGCCCAUAGCAACCAUCAGCAGAGCAGAUGUGCAGCAGGUGACCAAGAGGGAAAGGUGGAGAGGAGGGCCGAGAGGGGAACCAUGACAACAUGAGUUCAUUAUAGGUGUGGCAGCUCAGCUGUGCCAAACAACUGGCACUCUGACAGACACUUCUUUGGAAAGGAGGUUUUAAAGUGAUCCAGUGGCAGCUGUAUGAGUCUUGAUGGAACAUUUCCCUAUGAGGAGGGCAGUCUGGAAAGCAAAUGUAAAGGUAUUUGAGAGGGAGAAAAGGAAAUACCUGAGCUGAGCCAGUGUAGAUAUACAUACAAAUCAAUAUUCAGCUUUGAUAGCUGAUAGUUCAAAGCCAUAAAAUUAACAGUGAGAUCACAUUUAACAACAUCAUUCUGUAACCAAACACUAGCAUAAGAAACAACUCUGGAGAUGCUCAACAGGUAUUGCAUUAGUUCAGAUCCUGAGCUCAUUUACAUAAACACAUUGAUUUUCAUUUAUUUCACUGAUGACAGUGCAGGCUUAAAUUAGCAUAGUAUAUAAAGGAGGGUGACCUGCACACACCCUCACAUAAGUCACAUUUAAUCUAAGUCUGUAGAGAUAAAAAAAGAUCUUAUUCCUUUACAUCGGUAAAAUUUUCCUGUUCCUUUCUCUUGGUAAAGUGUGAGAAACUACAGCUAAUGGGAAAAGCUCAACUGGUGACGAGCUUUGUAGUUUUGUCAUAUCAAAGAUUUUAGGGAGCUGACAACGGGUAUUAUUAUAUCUUUGUGUUUCCUUUCCUUAAAAUGUGGUUUUAAUAAUUCCUGAUUUUUCUUCUUAGCUUUUUUAUUGAUUUAGACAAAUGCUCUCAUUUUAGAAUGAGCAACCAAUGUAAUCAGUGGCUUGGGUUUAGAAUUAAUGGACAAAUAUUUGCUAAUAUUAAGGUGAAAAUUCUUCCUCUGAAUGUGGUAUUUUUGAAGUUAGUAUUUUGGGAAUUUCAUUGAGCUCUUAACUGGAAUCUGCAAAAAUGUUUAUUGAAUAAAACUUGUAUGCACUGUACUGCUAUUUCAUGGCACUGGGAUCUAUCACCAGUAUUGUUUCAAGGAUAAAAUAGUAACAAAAUCUGGUAUGAGAUGA